ACACGACUACAUUAGAUACCCCUGUAGUCCUAGCCGUAACCGAUACUCGCUAGGUGUCGGCCACGGUGCGACCGUUGUCGGUGCCGUAGGGAAGCCGUGAAGCGAGCCACCUGGGAAGUACGGCCGCAAGGCUGAAACUUAAAGGAAUUGGCGGGGGAGCACAACAACGGGUGGAGCUUGCGGUUUAAUUGGAUUCAACGCCGGAAAUCUUACCGGGACCGACAGCAACAUGAAGGCCAAGCUGAAGACUUUGCCGGAUUAGCUG
rnacentral:rRNA from 1 species